rnacentral:lncRNA from 1 species
GGAGCUAGCUCAAAAUAUUGGGGAGGGCCGCAAUUUUUCUUUUAAAGAAAAUAAAAAGUCAUGAAUGCAAAAACACCAAAUACACAACACCAACACUAACACACCUCAAGCCUAUCUAUCUUUGUCUAAGCCUCCACUAAUACACAACAACUAGGAGGACACCACAUCAGAUCAUGAACGAUCUGAGUAAUCACCAUUACAAAAUACACCUAGC